rnacentral:piRNA from 1 species
CCAACGUUUACUGUGACCCGUAUGGGUGU